rnacentral:rRNA from 1 species
AGUCGAACGGGAUUUGUGCGUAGCACGAGGAAUUUAAAUUCGAAUUUCUCGCGCUAUGCACGAGUUUAGUGGCGAACGGGUGAGUAAUGGAUAGGAACAUGCCUUAAAGAGGGACAUAGUUCGCCGAAAGGCGAGGUAAUUUCCCAUAAUGUCGCAAGACCAAAGAUGCAAAUCACUUUAAGAGUGGCCUAUCUACUACCAGCUAGUUGGUGGGGUAAUAGCCUACCAAGGCGAUGACGGUUACCGGCUCUUAGCGGAGAGUCCGGCACAAUGGGACUGAGACACGGCCCAUACACCUACGGGUGGCAGCAGUUAGGAAUUUUGCGCAAUGGACGAAAGUCUGACGCAGCGACACCGCGUGAAGGAUGGAGACCUUCGGGUUGUAAACUUCUCUUGUUCCGGCACAUGCCGGGACGAAUAAGCAACUACUAACUAUGUGCCAGCCGCCGCGGUAAUUCA